rnacentral:rRNA from 1 species
CUUCCGUAGGGGUACCUGCGGAAGGAUCAUUACCGAGUUAGGGUCGCCCUCCGGGGUGCCCGAACCUCCCAACCCUGUGUCUAAGUUACCUCUCGUUGCUUCGGUGGGCCGGUCCGGACUGAAACACUGUCUGGACCGCCGGCCAGGGGGUUUUAAACCCCCCCGGUUGGAGAGCCUGCCCGCCGACGGCCACCAAAUUUAACUAAACUCUUGUACCAAAAUCGUGUCGUCUAAAAACAAAUUUUGAAACAAAAAUUAAAACAAAACUUUCAACAACGGAUCUCUUGGUUCUGGCAUCGAUGAAGAACGCAGCGAAAUGCGAUAAGUAAUGCGAAUUGCAGAAUUUCCGUGAGUCAUCGAAUCUUUGAACGCACAUUGCGCCCAUUGGUAUUCCGAUGGGCAUGCCUGUUCGAGCGUCAUUAUCCUCCCUCAAAACCCCCGUGUUUUGGUGUUGGACUAGGUCGUUUGGGUGACCGAACGACCGGUCUCAAAGACAAUGACGGCGUCCGUGGGGACCCUCUUCGCAACGAGCUCUUCUCCGGAAAGCACGCGUCGAGUUUCAAGGACCCCGGCGGGCCGGUCACACUCCUUUUAUUUUCUAAGGUGACCUCGGAUCAGGUAGGAACCCCCU